CGGGUGGACGCGGCCGUCGUGGCUGACCUGUCCCUGCCCCCGCAAGCCGCCCUGUGCAUGAGCGACUUCUGCGUGGUUCCCGGUGGUUGCGCUCCCCGUUUCGUCCCCUCCGUGAGCAUCGGCGCUUACCGGUGUUUUAACCCGAGGGUUACACAUCUGAGGCAAUGUGGGUGGGUUACGUGGGAGAGGACGAGUGAGUUUUUUGGUAAGCGGAAUGAACUAUGCAGAUAACAUCACAUGAAGGCCGUUUCUGGAAUGAAGUCUGACUCCAACAGUUUCACCACCUCCUCCGGAGCUCUCCCCGCCUUGCUGCCUUCCAUUGCUUCAUCCUCGGUGCUUCCUGAGUUUUAAAAUCGCCUAUCUACGCUUCCAAGUUCCAAUGAGUUAUCUGUACGUCUAUGGAUUAG
rnacentral:sRNA from 1 species